rnacentral:rRNA from 1 species
CAAUAGCGUAUAUUUAAGUUGUUGCAGUUAAAAAGCUCGUAGUUGGAUUUCGGAUGGGACUUGCCGGUCCGUCGUUUCGAUGUGCACUGGCAAGUCCUAUCUUGUUGUCGGGGACUAGCUCCUGGGCUUCACUGUCCGGGACUAGGAGCUGACGAGGUUACUUUGAGUAAAUUAGAGUGUUCAAAGCAAGCCUACGCUCUGAAUACAUUAGCAUGGAAUAACACGAUAGGACUCUGGCUUAUCUUGUUGGUCUGUGAGACCAGAGUAAUGAUUAAGAGGGACAGUCGGGGGCAUUCGUAUUUCAUUGUCAGAGGUGAAAUUCUUGGAUUUAUGAAAGACGAACUUCUGCGAAAGCAUUUGUCAAGGAUGUUUNCAUUA